rnacentral:lncRNA from 1 species
UCCGUCGACUCUGACCGCCCUAUGCGCUUCCAAGCCCUCAACGGGCCUCCAUGUGCCUCCACGGUGAGCGCACCGUCCAGCCCCUCUCCCCUCUUACCUCCUCGUAAGCCGUAGCCCACCUCGCCGUUGUUGCUGGCCCUGGCCACAGUCGCCACGGCCGCGUCCAUCGAUGCGUUCGCCCACACCCCCCUGCUACGCCCGGGCCGCAUCAUGGCAGCUCCAGCCGCCCGCCCGCACCGCUUUCCGGCUGCGUCCUGCUCAACCUGCUGCUACUGCCGGCCCCUGACGCCUGCAGCUGGCGUUGGGCGUCGUCAUCGUGGACGCCCUCGACGUCGCCACCGUAGCCAUAAUCCCCGUAGCUCGCGUACGAACCCCACAGCAAAGUCCUCAUGCUCCUAGGAGUCGAAUGCAGGCACACACCCGCCUCCCCAAGACCCAUGGCCACCGAUCCGUUGACGCCAACGCCGCCAUCGUGGUUGUCCUGCUCGACUCCGGCCGCCUCCGCUCGUUCCGGCGGGCUGCCCGGUCCCGCUCACUACUGCUGUUGCUGCCCGCCUCCGCCAGCGGCCUGCGCUGCUUCCCCCCAACUAGUUGUUGCCGUUGCUGCGUUCCAUUGCAGCUGUCGCGCAACUGCUCGCUGAUGGCAGCCUCGCCUGCCCUGCUCACCCCCUUGCCGCUCCUCCUGCUGAAGGCAUCACCACGCCCUCUGCUUUGCCUUGCGGCAACCUGCGCCCGCUGCUGUUGCCGCCUGCUACCACGGCUCUACGGAUGCAUCCUACUGCUGGUCGCUGACGCCGAUGCUAGCUAUUGUCGCUGCUAUUUUUCUGCUAGUUGAUGUUGCCUGUAGUUGCCUUGCUGCUGCGAAUUAAUGUAGCUAUGCCUAGACGUAGCUCAAGAAACUAGAGCCCUCUCUGACGCAGAAUUUCAUAUUAGGAAAAUGCUUAAACUCAAAAUCUUAGGCCUGGCCGCGAUUGAUCGAGCACGGAAGCGCCAGGCAUCUAGGAUUACUUGGCUGCGGGCUGGAGACGCGCCAACCGCCUUCUUCCAAGCGAAGAUCAAUCCCAGGAGACGGAAAGCAUUCAUCCACAUGCUCCAUGGCCCAUCAGGCGUAGUUACCAGGCAGGAGGACAAGGAAACCUUGAUCUACGACCACUUCUCCUCCUUGUUGGGUACGGCAGCGCACCGCGGCACAUCCAUUGGCUGGCGCUCACUAGACAUGCCCAGACUGCAGGGUGGAGGGCUGGACAACCCGUUCACAGAAGAUGAGGUGUGGCGUGCUAUCAAGGCGUCGCCGGCAGACAGAGCACCGGGCCCGGAUGGCUUCUCUGGCGCCUUCUUCAGGGCGUGCUGGGCAACUAUCAAAGCCGACAUCAUGGCUGCAUUCCACCAGUUUUACAACUUAGUAGGUGGCAAUUUUGAAGCCCUAAACACUGCGGUAGUCGCACUACUGCCUAAGAAAGGUGGAGCGACGACAAUCAACGACUACAGGCCGAUCAUCCUAAUUCACUCCAUAGCAAAGCUCAUCUCCAAAGUACUUUCCCUCAGGCUUGCUAGUGUGAUCCACACGCUCAUCUCGCCAGCGCAAUCAGCUUUUCUUAGGACCAAGUGCAUUCACGAUAGUUUCCUAUAUGUUCAGAACUGCAUCAAGGCCCUGCAUCGAAGGAAAACACUGGCUCUUCUCCUCAAAUUGGACAUAGCAAAGGCUUUCGAUAACGUGGCAUGGGAGUACAUCCUCGAGCUUAUGGAAAAAAGGGGCUUCAGUGCACGAUGGAGAGAUUGGAUAGCACUGUUGCUGUCCUCCUCCUCUUCGUCCUUCCUCCUCAAUGGCAUCCCCGGAAAGAAGGUUCGGCACCGGCGAGGCCUACGGCAGGGUGACCCACGGUCACCUUUCCUCUUUAUCCUGGCGAUCGACACACUGCACCACCUUCUACAGACUGCAGCUGAGCAAUGCAUCAUUGCUCCGCUGCCAGGACGAGAGAUAAAGGUUAGGAUUAGUCUCUACGCCGACGACGCGGUUAUCUUCGCAAACCCUGUGAGGGAGGAGAUCGAUGCACUCAUGGAAAUUCUUCGUAAUUUUGGCGCAGCCUCGGGGCUGCACAUCAACCCCUCAAAGUCAACGGCCCUACCCAUCAGAUGCGAUAAUAUAGACCUAGGGCACAUACUACAAAAUUUCGGAGGAAUAGUAGGGAACUUCCCAACGACUUAUCUGGGUCUGCCGCUGACGCUAGCCAGGCUGCGACUCGCGAACCUACAGUUCAUCAUAGAUAGGAUCAAAGCCCGCCUUGCGGGAUGGAAAGGGAAGCUGCUUCCAUUGGCUAGUAGACGUGUGCUGGUUCGAUGCGUCCUCAGCGCCAUGCCGACGUUCGCUUUGACCGUCCUUCGAGUGCCAAAGAAGUUACUAAAGGAGAUUGACAAGUGCAGGCGCAGAUUCUUAUGGAAGCAAGAUGAGGAGAUCACAGGUGGUAGCUGCAAGGUCAACUGGAUAGCUGUUUGCGCUCCCACAUCGCACGGAGGACUGGGCGUCCUCGACCUCGAGCGGUUCAGCCGAGCCCUGAGAUUACGGUGGCUCUGGACUUCCUGGACUGACCCGGAGCGAGCAUGGGUUGGUACAGAGCCACCGUGCAGCGCCAUAGACAAAACCCUUUUUAGGGCAGUGACCACGGUCACCAUCGGUGAUGGCGCAACGGCCCUAUUCUGGCACUCAUCCUGGAGCGGCCGCACACCUUAGCCGCCUCAUACCCCCUCCUCUACUCGCACUCCAGGAGGAAGAACAGGACGGUGCGCGAGGCGCUCACAGGCGAAACAUGGAUAAAAGAUCUGCGACACGGGAAUCUACAGCCACUUCUGCAGGAAUUCAUUAGGCUAGACUGCACCAUAUCAUUGACAGUGCUAACUGACGGGAGAAGGGACAAGAUUAGAUGGACUCUGGAGGCGAGCGGCCUCUACUCGGCGAGCUCGGCUUAUGCCGUUCAAUUUCAGGGACGAGUGCAAGUGGACUGGCAACAACUGAUAUGGGAAGCAAAGGUGCCAGGGUGCAUCAAAAUUUUCAACUGGCUACUACUGCAGAACCGUCUAUGGACAUGCGAUAGAUUGCAACGGCGUGGGUGGCCAAACAGUUAUUUUUGCCCGCUCUGCGUCCGCAACCUGGAGACAUCAUACCACCUGGUUUGGACCUGCCCACUGGCCCGUGAGGUUUGGGAGAGGGUCGCUGCAAGACGAGGAAGUACACUUGACAAUGCUCAAACGUGUCCAUUGGACCAAAUCCAUUUGCUGCAUAUAUUAAUUCUUACAAAAAUCAAAAAUUGAUAUCUUCUGCUAACAGAGAACAAUUUUAACCUCUCCUUGUGCUGUGUGUGGUGUGUGUGUGUGGCCGGCUUGGCCACGGCCCACUUCCGUGCGUGGCUGGCCCUUGUGUUAAUUAGGACUAAUUUAGUUUAGGAGUAUUUUAGUAUUAGUUUAGUCUUUAGAGCAAAUGACAUGUGGCCCCAUUUGACCAUGUUGACCAGUUAAUAGUUGAUUGGUCAAUUGCUGACUGGACACCCCUGGACCCCACCAGUCAGCCUCUGUCGCUAGCACAUGGCUGGGUACACUUGGUAUUUUCUGUUUAUUUGCAAAUUAAAAUAAAUGCCUAAAUCAUUUAAAACUUUGAUAAAAUCAUAGAAAAUAAACUGUAGCUCGGAUGAAAAGGUUUUCUACAUGAAAGUUGCUCAGAAUUUUGAGACGAAUCUGGAUACGCCCUCCGUUCGUCUGUCACACGACCCUAGCAUAGCAAACGUUGAACUUUUCCCUCCGGUUCAUCUGUUUGACAGACGACCGGAACUGGGAAAACUUUCCCGGAUGUCUCCCCCUUCGCCAGUAUCGCCUAGCGCUGCGUUAGAACACCUCUAGCUUCGCUUUUUUUGUCAUGUUAUGCAUAUGUUUGCAUGUAUUUAAUGUUUCUUCCCCCUCUUCUCUCCGAUAGACCCUGAAACUGCUGCUGAUGCCACCGUGAUCGACUACGUCGAUGACGACCCUCCUUGUCUGAGCAACCAGGCAAGCCCCCCCUUUGAUCAUCCCGAUAUCGCCCAUUCCAUUCUCUCAUGCUUGCAUUAGAUUUUGCUACUAUAUUUGAUUGCUCCUAUUCUGAUGCAUAGCCUGCUUUUGUACCUGCUAAUAAUACACUAUGGUUUGGGUAUUUGUUCCGAGUUGGCCUUUGGCCUUUACGCACCAACCACCACGUGAGAAUAGUUAUGGGCCUCGGCGUCGUGGUAUCAGCCGAAGCUUUGUCAGCCGUCCAGUUCAGCAUUGCUGCACGGCCUGGUCGGCGCCCUUGUGGAGGUGGCCCGGAUCGCCCUGCGCGCAACGAUCCGGAGUGCAACGAGCGAUGGGCCCAGACCCCAGAGUGCUUAGGAUGUAGACCGGCGGGGACCUCUCUGCUGAGCCUAGGUAGGGCUGUGACGUGUUGAUCUUCCGAGGCUGGACAUUGACCCAGAAAAGUGUGUCCGUCCAAAGUGAUCGAGCGGGUUGGAAAACGUGGUGCACCCCUGCAGGGAAGAUUAUCUAUUAAUAGCUAUGUCCACGGUAAUGGACGUUCAGACUUAUAUCUUGAUCUUAUACAACUACAAAUGGAUACUUGAGAUAUGUGGCUCCGGGAUUGCUUUCUCGCAGGGAGUCAAGGAAGGAUCUCUGGGCAUUAAUGUUACAACAUGUUUGUUAAUUAUAAACGGCUAUUAUUUACUCUUCUACAUGCUGCAAGAUGCUUGGAGCUUCUUGAAGAUGCUAGUCUUCAAUAGGCUAGGCCUUCCCCUCUAUUCUAGCAUUUUGCAGUUCCGUCCACAGAUACAGCCCUUCCAUUUGAUACGAAUGCAUACUUAGUAUAGAUCUGAUGCUUGCGAGUACUUCGGAUGAGUACUCACGGUUGCUUUGCUCCCCCUUUCCCCCUUCUUUCUUCUUUCUGGUUGUUGCAACCAGAUGGUGGAUCCCAGGAGCCAGAUGAUGCCACCCCCGGUGACUACUACUACAUGGAGGCCGCCGAAGACCAGGAGUAGUUAGGAGGUCCCAGGCAGGAGGCCUUGCCUCUUCGAUCGUGUUGAUUUCGUGCUAGCCUUUUUAACGCAUCCUUGUUUAACUUAUGUCUGUACUCAAAUAUUGUUGCUUCCGCUGACUCUUGUGUAUCGAGCUUUUGUAUUCGAGCCCUCGAGGCCCUUGGCUUGUAAUACAAACCUUGUAUCACUUUUAUUUGUGUUUAGAGUUGUGUUGUGAUAUCUUCCCGUGAGUCCCUGAUCUUGAUUAGUGUACGAUUGAAUCGGGGGCGUCACAGCCGUGUCCCCGGUUAUGGACAUCUUGAGUAUCUGGUUCUUGGAUUAUCAUGUUGAUCUCAUCACGUUACUUAAAUAAUUUGUUGGGUUGAUG